rnacentral:rRNA from 1 species
AAAAGGGGGAUGGGGGGAGGGGGGGCUAUCAUGCAGUCGAGCGGACGGAUGGGAGCUUGCUCCCAGACCGUCAGCGGCGGACGGGGGAGGAGCACGUGGGCAACCUGCCUGUAAGACUGGGAUAACUCCGGGAAACCGGGGCUAAUACCGGAUAAUUCUUUUCCUCACAUGAGGAAAAGCUGAAAGAUGGCAUCUCGCUAUCACUUACAGAUGGGCCCGCGGCGCAUUAGCUAGUUGGUGAGGUAACGGCUCACCAAGGCCACGAUGCGUAGCCGACCUGAGAGGGUGAUCGGCCACACUGGGACUGAGACACGGCCCAGACUCCUACGGGAGGCAGCAGUAGGGAAUCUUCCGCAAUGGACGAAAGUCUGACGGAGCAACGCCGCGUGAGUGAUGAAGGUUUUCGGAUCGUAAAACUCUGUUGUCAGGGAAGAACAAGUACCGGAGUAACUGCCGGUACCUUGACGGUACCUGACCAGAAAGCCACGGCUAACUACGUGCCAGCAGCCGCGGUAAUACGUAGGUGGCAAGCGUUGUCCUUUUUUAUUGGGCGUAAAGCGCGCGCAGGCGGUUCCUUAAGUCUGAUGUGAAAGCCCCCGGCUCAACCGGGGAGGGUCAUUGGAAACUGGGGAACUUGAGUGCAGAAGAGAAGAGUGGAAUUCCACGUGUAGCGGUGAAAUGCGUAGAGAUGUGGAGGAACACCAGUGGCGAAGGCGACUCUUUGGUCUGUAACUGACGCUGAGGCGCGAAAGCGUGGGGAGCAACAGGAUUAGAUACCCUGGUAGUCCACGCCGUAAACGAUGAGUGCUAAGUGUUAGAGGGUUUCCGCCCUUUAGUGCUGCAGCAAACGCAUUAAGCACUCCGCCUGGGGAGUACGGCCGCAAGGCUGAAACUCAAAGGAAUUGACGGGGGCCCGCACAAGCGGUGGAGCAUGUGGUUUAAUUCGAAGCAACGCGAAGAACCUUACCAGUCUUGACAUCUCCUGACAACCUAGAGAUAGGGCGUUCCCCUUCGGGGGACAGGAUGACAGUGUUGCAUGGUUGUCGUCAGCUUCGUGUCGUGAGAUGUUGGUUAAGUCCCGCAACGAGCGCACCUUGAUCUUUAGUUGCCAGCAAUUCAGUGGCAACUCUAAAGUGACUGCCGGUGUACACGAGAAGGUUGGAAUGAAACGUCCUACAACUA